AAAGUACUCCCUCCGUCCCAAAAUUUUGUCUUAGAUUUGUCUAGAUACGGAUGUAUCAAGUCACAUUUUAGUAUUAGAUACAUUCGUAUCUAGACAAAUCUAAGACAAGAAAUUUGGAACAGAGGGAGUAGUUG
rnacentral:pre_miRNA from 1 species